UACGUAGGUGGCGAGCGUUGUCCGGAAUUACUGGGUGUAAAGCGCGUGUAGGCGGCAGGCCAAGUCGGUGGUGAAAGCCCCCGGCUCAACUGGGGAGGGUCACUCGAUACUGAUCGACUCGAAGGCAGGAGAGGGUAGUGGAAUUCCCGGUGUAGUGGUGAAAUGCGUAGAUAUCGGGAGGAACACCAGUGGCGAAGGCGACUACCUGGCCUGUUCUUGACGCUGAGGCGCGAAAGCUAGGGGAGCAAACAGG
rnacentral:rRNA from 1 species